rnacentral:tRNA from 1 species
GCGCUUGUGGUGUACUGGUAACAUUCUACCCUUCCAAGGUGGAGCAGCGGGUUCGAUUCCCGCCAAGCGCU